UACGUAGGUGGCAAGCGUUGUCCGGAUUUACUGGGCGUAAAGAGCGCGCAGGCGGCUGGUCAAGCCCGAUGUGAAAUCUCCCGGCUCAACUGGGAAACUGCAUCGGAAACUGAUCGGCUUGAAGGUGGGAGAGGGUAGUGGAAUUCCCGGUGUAGUGGUGAAAUGCGUAGAUAUCGGGAGGAACACCAGUGGCGAAGGCGGCAUCCUGGACCGAUAUUGACGCUGAUGCGCGAAAGCCAGGGGAGCAAACGGG
rnacentral:rRNA from 1 species